AGUGAACGCUGGCGGCAUGCCUAACACAUGCAAGUCGAACGGCAACACAAUAAGCUCUCUCCUUUGCCGGUGGCGACUGGCGGACGGGUAACACAUACAUCACAUUCUACUAUUACUUGGGUGACUACGUAGGGCAGCUUAUACUGAUAGCUCAUACUUCGUACGGCUUAGUGCUAGAGUUCAUCGUACCUUUGCUGUCUCAUUUAGCUGGUCCCGUGUCGUAUUAGCUAGUUGGUAAGGUAACGGCGUACCAAGGCUACGAUACGUAGCCGACCUGAGAGGGUGAUCGGCCACACUGGAACUGAGACACGGUCCAGACUCCUACGGGAGGCAGCAGUAGGGAAUAUUGCACAAUGGGCGAAAGCCUGAUGGAGCAAUACCGCGUGAGUGAUGAAGGUCUUCGGGUCGUAAAGCUCUUUUAUUGGGAAAGAACAGAUGUGUAUUUAACUGUGGACGUCUUGACGGUACCUAAUCAGAAAGCAACGGCUAACUUCGUG
rnacentral:rRNA from 1 species